rnacentral:hammerhead_ribozyme from 1 species
AUCCAAAUGACGAGUCCCAAAUAGGACGAGGUGAUGCACGUCCUGGAU